UCCGGUUUAACACCGGCAGUCUCCCUAGAGUUCCCGGCAUGACCCGCUGGCAGCUAAGGACAAGGGUUUCGCUCGUUAAGGGACUUAACCCGACAUCUCACGACACGAGCUGACGACAGCCAUGCAACACCUUCGUACGUUCCACCGGUUAAGGUGUCAUUCUACUUUCAUAGAACUAAUCCGUACGCUUCGAGCCCGGGUAAGGUUCUUCGCGUUGCAUCGAAUUAAGCAACAUGCUCCACCGCUUGUGUGAGCCCCCGUCAAUUCCUUUGAGUUUUAGCCUUGCGGCCGUAGUCCCCAGGCGGCGGACUUAAUGCGUUAGCUGCGGCGCCGAGGGGGUCGAUACCCCCGACACCUAGUCCGCAUCGUUUACUGCGUGGACUAC
rnacentral:misc_RNA from 1 species